UCACCGGUGUUGCUUGUGUACUGC
rnacentral:siRNA from 1 species